rnacentral:rRNA from 1 species
UAAGACGAAGGUGGCAAGCGUUGUUCGGUAUCACUGGGCUUAAAGCGUGUGUAGGCGGAAAAGUAAGCGUCCUGUGAAAGCCCCCGGCUUAACCGGGGAACUGCUUGGCGAACUGCUUUUCUUGAGGCAAGUAGGGGUGCACGGAACUCUUGGUGGAGCGGUGGAAUGCGUAGAUAUCAAGAGGAACGCCGGCGGUGAAGACGGUGCACUGGGCUUGUCCUGACGCUGAGACACGAAAGCGUGGGGAGCGAACGGGAUUAGAUACCCCGGUAGUCCACGCCGUAAACGAUGUCUACUAGGUUGCGGGAGUUCUGACACUGUCGCGACCGAAGCAAAAGUGUUAAGUAGACCGCCUGGGGAGUACGGCCGCAAGGCUA